CCUGGCGUCACGCGGGAGAGGAAGGCUGCCGCCAUUACUACAAUUCAUCAUCCAUAUACAGAAAAAGCAGCAAUGGCAGCCUACAGACACCUGCUACGUAGAGUGGCUCACGUGGGACAAUGGGAAGACCUGGCCAUCAGGAGGAGAACCCGUUUGUUCAGGAGCCGUAGGGAUCCCUUUGAAAUGUACUCGGAAGAGGAGUUCACUCAACGCUUUCGGCUCUCCAAGCAAGUCACCCUGGAUCUCUUAUCAAAAAUCCAGCACCUAUUGCCAGAUUCUACCAGGAAAAGAGGGCUUCCAAUCCCACCACGUCUCCAGCUGCUGGUAACCCUCCGCUACUAUGCCACUGGGAGCUUCCAGCUUGACAUGGGGGAUUGCUGUGACAUGUCGCUGCCCAGUGUAUCUAC